UACGAAGGGGGCUAGCGUUGCUCGGAAUCACUGGGCGUAAAGGGUGCGUAGGCGGGUCUUUAAGUCAGGGGUGAAAUCCUGGAGCUCAACUCCAGAACUGCCUUCGAUACUGGAGAGCUUGAGUCCGGGAGAGGUGAGUGGAGCUGCGAGUGUAGAGGUGAAAUUCGUAGAUAUUCGCAAGAACACCAGUGGCGAAGGCGGCUCACUGGCCCGGUACUGACGCUGAGGUGCGAAAGCGUGGGGAGCAAACAGG
rnacentral:rRNA from 1 species